rnacentral:rRNA from 1 species
UACGUAGGGGGCAAGCGUUGUCCGGAAUCAUUGGGCGUAAAGCGCGUGUAGGCGGCCCGGUAAGUCCGCUGUGAAAGUCAAGGGCUCAACCCUUGGAUGCCGGUGGAUACUGUCGGGCUAGAGUGCGGGAGAGGCGAGUGGAAUUCCUGGUGUAGCGGUGAAAUGCGCAGAUAUCAGGAGGAACACCGAUUGCGAAGGCAGCUCGCUGGAACGUUACUGACGCUGAGACGCGAAAGCGUGGGGAGCGAACAGG